rnacentral:lncRNA from 1 species
CCCCUCGCUCCUCUCUCCCCUCUCCCCCUCGCUCCUCUCUCCCCUCUCCCCCUCGCUCCUCUCUCCCCUCUCCCCCUCGCUCCUCUCUGCCUUCUCCCCCUCGCUCCUCUCUCCCCUCUCCCCCUCGCUCCUCUCUGCGCUCCGGCCGCUCUCCAACCCGCUCCAGAGACCGAGGUAGGGUGACCUUCGCUCAGGACUGUUCCAGUGACAACAACACCUCUGAUGUGUCAACACCCGACCCUCAGAACCUCCAGCCCAACCUCCAGCCGUAUGAUGCCCAACUGGGCAGGGGACAGGCACCAUGGACCCCUCCAUUGGGGACAGACCCAGUACAGGCCCCAAAAGCCUGGGCCCCUGAGUGCAGCCAUGCCCAUUGGCCCUCCCUCUCCUCCAGCUUGACUCCAGUACUCCAGCCCCUGGCUUCACCACCUCCCAGAGAUACAGAGCUGGACCUGGAGGCCCGGACCAGCAGACUGCUGAGGCUCACCUCAGACCUAUCAGACGACUCCACUGUCCUCCGGCGGUUCUCUGAAGGGGCCAGUCGAUGCCAGAGUCCAGCCCCACGGAGUGUCUCUUUGGACAGGCUGCUGGAUCACCAGAGCCCCAGGCUUCAGCAGGCCUCCAGGAUACAACAUGGAGGAUCUCCCCAGAGACAGAGCAUGGAGCAGGGCUGUUUGGCUGCUCUUACUCCCCCUGGUCCGGUAGACUACACUGGACAGGCUGCCAGGCCCGGUCUCUACUCUCCCCCUGGUCCGGUCGACUACACUGGACAGGCUGCCGGGCCCGGUCUCUACUCUCCCCCUGGUCCGGUAGACUACACUGGACAGGCUGCCGGGCCCGGUCUCUACUCUCCCCCUGGUCCGGUAGACUACACUGGGCAGGCUGCCGGGCCCGGUCUCUACUCUCCCUCUGGUCCGGUAGACUACACUGGACAGGCUGCCAGGCCCGGUCUCUACUCUCCCUCUGGUCCGGUAGACUACACUGGGCAGGCUGCCAGGCCCGGUCUCUACUCUCCCCCUGGUCCGGUCGACUACACUGGACAGGCUGCCAGGCCCGGUCUCUACUCUCCCCCUGGUCCGGUAAACUACACUGGACAGGCUGCCGGGCCCGGUCUCUACUCUGGUCUUUACAGCCCAUCUCCCCCAGGGUCAGACCUGCAGACAGGCACCAGAUCCAACUCCAUCAUCGCUACACAGAGCUCCAGACUAGGGCUUAGUGACUGCCACUCUGUGCCCAGGACUCUGUCACCUCAGCCUGGGGUGGCAGAGCUCUCCUCCUGCCUGAGAGGACUCCUGGACCUGGUGGAUCAGCAAUGUGCUGGCACACGCUCCCUCCACCUCAACCCCGACUUCCUGGGCCAGGCCUACGACCUGCUCUCUGCCCUGGGAUCACCUCCUGCUACUUCCUGUCUGAGAGAGAGUGAAGAAAACAGAGAAGGACAGAACAGAGGAGGACAAGAACAGAGUGAGAGUCAUGUUGAUGUGACUCCACAGUGCAGUGAGGUAGCUCUCCUGAAGAGGAAGCUGACCGUCACACAACGGCAGCUGGACUCCCUGAAGAAAAGGCUUGUUGAGGCGCUGAAAGAAAACUACAACUUGAGACUAACCAGCCUGAAGCAGGACUCCUCUACCACUGCUGAGACCUACUGUGGCAGGCAUUGGGACAGGUGUCUACAGAGACAGGUGGUAGCUCUGAGAGACCAGGAGACACACCUCAGACAGCUGGAGCAGACCAUUGUGCUUCUACAGGGCAAUCACAGGUCUUUGGUGUCCAAUAAUAACUCUCUGUUGGGACAUCUAAUUGAACACAUAACAGUCCAGAGUCCAGAGAAUCCAGCCAGCAGACUGAUCUAAUGACUUCAACAUCCAACGUCAAUUCAAGCCUUUGUCAAGACUGUACUGCGUUGUAAUGAAUAAAGCCUACUCUGUAAGGUUUGUAGGCUAUGUUUGGCAUACUGUGAAAUUACAUUGAAAAUGUAUUUGUAAUAGACCUGCUUUUUAUUAGCACUCAAAUGUAUUUAUCAAAUAAAAAAAAUGAAUAAUUCACCACAUCAUAAAACACUUUUCUGUAUUGUCAUUUGUGUAAUUAGAUGAUAACAAAGUGAUGUUUUUCCAGUGUAAACAAAGUGAUGUUUUUCCAGUGUAAACAAAGUGAUGUUUUUCCUGUGUAAACA